UGACGGUACCCYUAAAGGAAGCCCCGGCUAACUCUGUGCCAGCAGCCGCGGUAAUACAGAGGGGGCAAGCGUUGUUCGGAAUUACUGGGCGUAAAGGGCGCGUAGGCGGCCAUUUAAGUCAGACGUGAAAUCCCCCGGCUCAACCUGGGAAMUGCGUCUGAUACUGGACGGCUUGAGUUUGGGAGAGGGAUGCAGAAUUCCCGGUGUAGCGGUGAAAUGCGUAGAUAUCUGGAGGAAUACCSGUGGCGAAGGCGGCAUCCUGGACCAUCACUGACGCUGAGGCGCGAAAGCUAGGGGAGCAAACGGGAUUAGAUACCCCGGUAGUCCUCGCCCUAAACGAUGAAUACUUGGUGUGGCGGGUAUCGAU
rnacentral:rRNA from 1 species